rnacentral:rRNA from 1 species
UACAGAGGUCUCAAGCGUUGUCCGGAAUCACUGGGCGUAAAGGGCGCGUAGGCGGCCUGAUAAGUCGGGGGCGAAAUCCUGCGGCUUAACCGCAGGGCUGCCUUCUAAACUGUCAGGCUUGAGCACAGUAGAGGCAGGUGGAAUUCCCGGUGUAGCGGUGGAAUGCGUAGAGAUCGGGAAGAACAUCAGUGGCGAAGGCGGCCUGCUGGGCUGUUGCUGACGCUGAGGCGCGACAGCGUGGGGAGCAAACAGG